rnacentral:tRNA from 1 species
GCCUUCAUGGUGUAACGGUAACACACUUGGUAGCAUAUUCGAGAGGUCCAGGGUUCAAGUCCCAGCAAGGGCA